UUCUGGAGUUCCUAGAAGGCUCUUCAGCCCUCUUCCCUGGGAGUCUGCAUCCUUACACCACUGGACUGUAAUCAAGGAUAUGGGAAAUGUGCCUCCAGCAUACAUCUUUGCUGCCCUUAUUCCUGCUCUGAUGAUAGCAGGGCUCUACUUUUUCGACCAUAGCGUUGCAUCGCAGCUGGCACAACAGAAGGAAUUCAAUCUUAAAAAUCCAUCUUCUUACCAUUAUGACAUGUUGUUGCUGGGGUUCAUGACUUUACUUUGUGGAUUGCUUGGACUACCUCCUUCUAAUGGGGUCCUGCCCCAGUCUCCUAUGCACACAAAGAGUCUUGCUGUUCUCAAAAGACAGUUGAUAAGAAGGAAGAUGGUGGAGAGUGCUAAGGAGAGCAUCAAGCAGAAAGCUAGCAACUCUGAAAUAUAUGGGAAGAUGCAAGCUGUGUUCCUUGAGAUUGACAGCAGUCCAGCAAUUACAGUAGCUAAAGAGCUGAAAGACUUGAAGGAGGCAGUCAUGAAUGGGGAGAACAAGGGAGAAAAUCCAAAGGAUUCGUUUGAUCCUGAGAAGCACAUUGAUGCCUACUUACCUGUCAGAGUUAAUGAGCAAAGAGUGAGCAAUUUGUUGCAGUCACUUCUUGUGGCAGCAUCAGUUUGUGCUAUGCCAGCAAUAAAGCAGAUACCUACAUCAGUCCUCUGGGGAUAUUUCGCUUACAUGGCCAUGGACAGUCUCCUUGGGAACCAAUUCUGGGAAAGAAUGCUACUUCUCUUCAUUAUGCCCGGCAGGCGGUACAAAGUGUUUGAAGGGGUUCAUGCUUCUUUUGUGGAGUCGGUUCCAUUCAAAUACAUUGCUAUGUUUACAAUCUUCCAAUUGGUGUAUUUCCUAGUCUGUUUUGGUGUGACAUGGAUUCCAAUAGCUGGAAUUCUCUUCCCAUUACCAUUCUUCAUUCUUAUUUCCAUAAGGCAGCGCAUCCUUCCCAAGCUGUUUAAUCCACAUCAUCUGCGAGAACUGGAUGCAGCCGAAUACGAGGAAAUCACCAGUGCCCCACGACGCUCUCUCAGCCUUUCUUUCAAGGAAAAAGAAGCUGCUGGUCUAGGAAAUGAGGAAGGGGAAGUGGAAGUGUGUGAUGCUGAGAUGUUAGAUGAGCUAACUACCAACAGAGGGGAGUUCAAAGUUAGGACUGUAAGCUUCCACGAGGACAAUCGCGGUCAGGUUUACCCUGAGGCAAUCGUCCAACAGGAGUAAGAGAUGAAUUGCGUGGCAUGUACUCAGAGAAAGUGAAUUAAUGAUAACGAUAGAUGAUAGUUAUACAGUCAUAUUCUGCUUGUAAGAGAACUUGUAGAAUGUAAAUAGCAUGGAAAAUGGACAAAUAGAGUUUGAAGCCAAUCACCAGUGUUCAUGAUAUCGAUUCUAAGAUAAACACCCUCUGCUUGGACUUGAACAUUUGUUUAUCACAAGGAGAAAUAUAGCCACACG
rnacentral:misc_RNA from 1 species